CGGGGACCCGCACAANCGGUGAGCAUGUGGUUUAAUUCGAAGAUACACGAAGAACCUUACUGGCCUUGAAAUCCUAAGAAUCCUGUAUAGAUACGGGAGUGCUAGUUUACUAGAACUUAGAGACAGGUGCUGCACGGCUGUCGUCAGCUCGUGUCGUGAGAUGUUGGGUUAAGUCCCGCAACGAGCGCAACCCUCGUGAUUAGUUGCUAACAGUUCGGCUGAGCACUCUAAUCAGACUGCCUUCGUAAGGAGGAGGAARGUGAGGACGACGUCAAGUCAUCAUGGCCCUUAUGGCCAGGGCUACACACGUGCUACAAUGGCUAGGACAAARAGACGCGAUACUGCGAAGUGGAGCAAAUCUUAAAACCUAGUCUCAGUUCGGAUUKAAGUCUGCAACUCGACUUCAUGAAGCUGGAAUCAGCUAGUAAUACAGUAGAUCAGAUAUGCUACGGUGAAUACGUUCCCGGGUCUUGUACUCACCGCCCGUCACACCAUGGGAGUUGAAUUCACCCGAAGCCGGAAUACUAAACUAGUUACCGACCACGGUGGGUUCAGCGACUGGGGUGAAGUCGUAACAAGGUAACCGUAGGAGAACCUGC
rnacentral:rRNA from 1 species